rnacentral:ribozyme from 1 species
UGCCCAGCAACUCCUAUCCCUACCUCCUCGCGGUACCGGCCGGAAACUAUGAGCAACCUUAGGGAAGAUCGGGUAACCAACCCCGGUGGGAACUUUGGUCGUAUGCUGACAGAGAAGA